rnacentral:rRNA from 1 species
CCUACGGGUGGCAGCAGUGGGGAAUAUUGCACAAUGGGGGAAACCCUGAUGCAGCGACGCCGCGUGAGUGAAGAAGUACUUCGUUACGUAAAGCUCUAUCAGCAGGGAAGAAAUACUGACCUUACGGUCAGCAGACGGUAUCUGAGUAAGAAGCCCCGGCUAACUACGUGCCAGCAGCCGCGGUAAUACGUAGGGGGCAAGCGUUAUCCGGAUUUCUUGGGUGUAAAGGGAGCGUAGACGGUGCGCCAAGUCUGGAGUGAAAUGCCGGGGCUUAACUCCGGAACUGCUUUGGAAACUGGCGAGCUAGAGUGCGGGAGGGGUAGGCGGAAUUCCUAGUGUAGCGGUGAAAUGCGUAGAUAUUAGGAGGAACACCGGUGGCGAAGGCGGCUUACUGGACCGUAACUGACGUUGAGGCUCGAAAGCGUGGGGAGCAAACAGGAUUAGAUACCCGAGUAGUC